GUCUACCCCUCUUCUCGUUAUUUGUUCAAGCCUCUUUUCACAGGAAAAAAGAUAUCAGUUUUAAUCUCUGUGUAUGCUUACUCAGGGUUCUGUGCUUAAGAUGGCUGCUCUCUUCCAACUGCCAGGUGUAAAUGGAUUCUUGUCCUUAUUCAGCUAACUGGGGUACCACAUGUAAUAUAGGAACAGAAUGGGGUCCCUCACACUCUCACUGGGGAAUUAAAGAGAGAAGUGUGAAGGAGCUGGAGAAAUGGAGAGAGGGAAGAGAUUGAUCCUUCCCCUUGGGGAAUAUAGACAAACUGCCUUCUAGAGGGACAGAAUAUGUCUCCUCGGAGAUUAGAUUAUCCAAGGAGUUUAAGGACUGAAGGAGAAGGUCCUAUAGAAUAAACCCACUGCCUCCCCUCUUGAUCUUGGCUGUUGUAAGAGAGCAGAGUAAUUCUCCUGACCCUGAAUUUCCCAAUCUCCCAAUUCCCACUUUCUCCCAUUAGACCUGAGUCACUCUACUGCUUGGGUUGGACUUGAUUCUCCUUCUUGGGGACAAAGGUAAGACCAGAAGACAGAGGGAAAGUGUGGCUAAAUGGAAGGAUGCCUAAGAAAACUUAACUCUGUAGGAGGAAUUUAUGACAAUGAGACAGAAACCUAUCCAAAGCCCUCACAACUGGUGAAAACAGCUGUGACAGUAGCAGCAGCAGCUUUGGGACCUCUCAACCUAGAGACAGUAAGGGAGUUGGACAACUACUCAGAAAGAGAUUAAAGAAAAUCCAGUGGAGGAAUGACCAGAAGCAAAGAAAAUUUUGAAUUUGAAGAAAUGCAUCAGAAGAUGGGCAGAUGGAACCACACAAGACCUCAGGGGAUGGGAUGGAAUUCCAGCCAAGCUCAAAAGCAGUCAGAGGAGAAAACCCAGGGUUCUUCUUAUCUUGGGCUCUUUGGAGCUGGGGGGAGAACUACUUUGGCUAUUAAAAUAUCCAAAUCUCUCAAUCCUGUUAUCUAAGCAGAAGAAAGAAGAUCUCCAUUCUCAACUGAAGACAGUCUUUGGGAUAAAGACUCUCUUUACCAUAGGGGAACCCAGAGCUUAUUUCUGAAGAAGAUUCCUUAGGCAGAGACUCAAAAGCUUUAUAGGGGAAAUAUCUUAGGGACUUCCUCUUCCCCCUGUCCUCUUCCAUUACUCUUUCAACAACUUUAUAUCCAAAUAAAUUAGAUAUCUUGAUUCAUAAUAUAACUUGUAUCAGAGUCUAUGUGUUAGGAGGGGAGCUUCAAAUUCCAUCAUUACAAGAAGGA